UACGAGGGGUGCAAGCGUUGCUCGGAAUUAUUGGGCGUAAAGGGCAGGUAGGUGGUCUCAUUUGUCUGGGGUGAAAGCCCGGAGCUUAACUCCGGAAGUGCCCCAGAAACGGUGAGACUCGAGUACUGGAGAGGGUCGUGGAAUUCCCGGUGUAGAGGUGAAAUUCGUAGAUAUCGGGAGGAACACCAGUGGCGAAAGGCGGCGAUCUGGGAAGAUACUGACGCUGAGGUGCGAAAGCGUGGGGAGCAAACAGG
rnacentral:rRNA from 1 species